UACGUAGGGGGCAAGCGUUGUCCGGAAUCAUUGGGCGUAAAGCGCGCGUAGGCGGCUAGAUCAGUCUGCUGUAAAAGUCAAAGGCUCAACCUUUGAAAGCCGGUGGAUACUGUCUAGCUAGAGUCCGGAAGAGGCGAGUGGAAUUCCUGGUGUAGCGGUGGGAUGCGCAGAUAUCAGGAGGAACACCAACGGCGAAGGCAGCUCGCUGGGACGGUACUGACGCUAAGGCGCGAAAGCGUGGGGAGCGAACAGG
rnacentral:rRNA from 1 species